rnacentral:rRNA from 1 species
CCUACGGGUGGCUGCAGUGGGGAAUAUUGGACAAUGGGGGGAACCCUGAUCCAGCCAUGCCGCGUGUGUGAAGAAGGCCCUCGGGUUGUAAAGCAUUUUCAGUGAGGAAGAACGCCUGGUGGUUAAUACCCAUCAGGAAAGACAUCACUCACAGAAGAAGCACCGGCUAACUCCGUGCCAGCAGCCGCGGUAAUACGGAGGGUGCGAGCGUUAAUCGGAAUUACUGGGCGUAAAGCGCGCGUAGGUGGCUUGAUAAGCCGGUUGUGAAAGCCCCGGGCUCAACCUGGGAACGGCAUCCGGAACUGUCAAGCUAGAGUGCAGGAGAGGAAGGUAGAAUUCCCGGUGUAGCGGUGAAAUGCGUAGAGAUCGGGAGGAAUACCAGUGGCGAAGGCGGCCUUCUGGACUGACACUGACACUGAGGUGCGAAAGCGUGGGUAGCAAACAGGAUUAGAUACCCUAGUAGUC